AUUGAACGCUGGCGGCAGGCCUAAUACAUGCAAGUCGGACGGGAUUGAGAAGCUUGCUCUUCAUGAGAGUGGCGCACGGGUGCGUAACACGUAUGUAACCUACCUUAAUCAGGGGGAUAGCCUCUCGAAAGAGAGAUUAACACCGCAUAAAAUCAAUUUAUGGCAUCAUAGAAUGAUCAAAUAUUUAUAGGAUUAAGAUGGGCAUGCGGAACGUUAGCUAGUUGGUAAGGUAACGGCUUACCAAGGCUACGAUGUUUAGGGGAUCUGAGAGGAUGACCCCCCACACUGGUACUGAGACACGGACCAGACUCCUACGGGAGGCAGCAGUAAGGAAUAUUGGUCAAUGGGCGCAAGCCUGAACCAGCCAUGCCGCGUGCAGGAAGACGGCCCUACGGGUUGUAAACUGCUUUUGUACCGGAAUAAACCUUUGUAUGUAUACGAAGCUGAAUGUACGGUAAGAAUAAGGAUCGGCUAACUCCGUGCCAGCAGCCGCAGUAA
rnacentral:rRNA from 1 species